GGGACAACUGUCACCCCAUGCGUGUGAAGACAAACACAUGUACCCAUACCAGCAGUGGAGCAUCAGCUCUGCCUGCUCUGCCCUCACACCUCCCACAGUCAGGAAAAUGAAAUACUGCUCUCCAAAAACCAGAGCUGGGAGAGUCCCUACAAAGGAAGUGAUGUGUAGAGUGUGAGUGUGGCCUUUGGGAUCCACGGGACUCCUGUCUUGCAGCCUCACCCCUCUGGGAUGGGGGGUGGGGAGGAACUCAGUCUCAGCAAGUGCUGCUGGGGCAGAAAUCAAUGGGGUCUUUGUGUCCCUGAGUUGGUGUCUUAGCUCCAGUUGGGGUGGGCAGGAAAAGGGAAGGAUAAAGAUGACACACAUCAAUGGAGGAGAGAUGGAGGGCAUUUAGGAAGUGAGCGGGAGGUGACAGAGGGUUUCUGUUAGGAUAAGAGGAAUCCAGAGAACACAGGGGUAGGGAUUCCCUUGAUCCAAGCUAAGAGUCCCUGGAAUCCUGAGAAUAACUGGAGUGGAGGGGGGGGGGGAGUCAAGGAUAGCUUUCCCUACAUCCUUUGGUACUCUGGGGCUGGAGAGGGAGGGUCAAAGCUUACGGACCUCUUCUGUGGGGCUGUCCCAGGAACAUCCGUGCAAGUCUGGCAAAGCAAGCACUAGGGGACAGAAUUCCCCCUUUGGGGUUCUUGUUCCCCGAUGCCCACCUUAGCCUAGACUCAUACCCUUCUGCCCACACCCCAUCCCCCACCUGCUGCAUGUAAUUCCUUCUGGACCUGGUACUCGGUUGAGUCUGAGACAGUUAGGAGCUGGGCUGGGGCUCAUGGCGAUGGAGAAGGUUGGAUGCGUUGCCUGGGUGAGGUGAGAUGGAGAAGGGGAAGGACGGCUCGAGGCCUCUGGUGAGGACACGAGGUCCAUAAUCAGCUCUGCAGUGAGGGUGUGGGCUACAUGAUGGGGACUUGAGGGUCUUUGGUAAGGAGAUGAAAAUUUGAGCCCGUUGGGGGUAGCACCUGCCCCGGAGUGGGUGGUGGAAUGGUCAGUGACUGUGACGGACAGGCUUCGGUAAGGGACUGUGAUGUGUUUUCUGUUGCUUUCCCUGUUUCCUCCUUCCCACUCCCCACUCUGCUGUGACCUUUCCUCCGGAAUCCAAGUUAAUAAAUGUCACAUUUUCCAGCCUAUUUUUACUCUGGGUAAUGUGCCCUCCCCCAGUCCCCUAAGCUUCUGCUCUUGCUUCUGGUACCACUGAAAUCACUUUCACCCCCAUGCUCCCAAAUAUCCCUUCAUUUACUCCUAGUCAGGCACUCAGAAUGCUUGCUGCUCUGUGUGCCUGCACACACUGGGUUCCUGGCUAGGACCUAGGGGGGACAGCAAAGAAGCGACGCCAUAGUCCUCAAACCCUGUCCUCAAGAUGCCUUCAGUCUCACGGAAGAACAGGGACAGGGAUGCUCAAAAGCUUAAGCAACCAUGCAAGAGUUAAUCAGCCAUGCAAGCAAUGUCAUAAGGUGCCAGGAUUAAUUGCCAGAUGAGGUUCCUGGAUGGUAAAAGCCCGAGUUGAGAGAGAGAGAGAGAGAGAGAGAGAGAGAGAGAGAGAGAGAGAGAGAGAGAGGCCACUGUGGGCUAAAAGAAGGCUGGGAAGGCUUAAAGGAUGAGGCAGCCUGACUGAGAUUCCGAGAGGAGAGAAAGAGCGACAUGGUUUCUGAGGUGCAAUGCUAGGACCAUUUCCACACACACUCCAUCCUCCACGAAGGCCCCUGGCUCUUCUCUUCCCUUUUCUCCGUCACUCAGGCUCACACCAGCCCAUUCCCACGUCUACCUCAGUACUCUCAUCACCACCCUAUU